rnacentral:rRNA from 1 species
CGGGGUGCAGCAGGCGCGAAAACUCUACAAUGCAGGCAACUGCGAUAGGGGAACAUCGAGUGAUCCUCAUAUUGGGGGUCUGUCCCACCGUCUAAAAAACGGUGGUUAGCAAGGGCCGGGCAAGACCGGUGCCAGCCGCCGCGGUAAUACCGGCGGCUCGAGUGGUGGCCGAUAUUAUUGAGUCUAAAGGGUCCGUAGCCGGCUUUGCAAGUCUCUCGGGAAAUCCAGCGGCUUAACCGUUGGUCGUCCGGGGGGUACUACAUUGCUUGGGACUGGGAGAGGUAGGAGGUACUCAGGGGGUAGGAGUGAAAUCCUGUAAUCCUCUGGGGACCACCGGUGGCGAAGGCGUCCUACCAGAACAGGUCCGACGGUGAGGGACGAAAGCUAGGGGCACGAACCGGAUUAGAUACCCGGGUAGUCCUAGCCGUAAACGAUGCUCGCUAGGUGUCACAACAGUCGUGAACUGUUGUGGUGCCGUAGGGAAGCCGUGAAGCGAGCCACUUGGGAAGUACGACCGCAAGGUUGAAACUUAAAGGAAUUGGCGGGGGAGCACAAGGGCGAAUCGCGG